rnacentral:rRNA from 1 species
AGGACGAACGCUGGCGGCGUGCUUAACACAUGCAAGUCGAGCGGAAAGGCCCUUCGGGGUACUCGAGCGGCGAACGGGUGAGUAACACGUGAGUAAUCUGCCCCUAGCUCUGGGAUAGCUCCGGGAAACCGGGAUUAAUACCAGAUACGACCACUUUAGACAUCUUCUGUGGUGGAAAGAACUUCGGCUAGGGAUGAACUCGCGGCCUAUCAGCUUGUUGGUGAGGUAACGGCUCACCAAGGCGACGACGGGUAGCCGGCCUGAGAGGGCGACCGGCCACACUGGGACUGAGACACGGCCCAGACUCCUACGGGAGGCAGCAGUGGGGAAUAUUGCGCAAUGGGCGAAAGCCUGACGCAGCGACGCCGCGUGGGGGAUGAAGGCCUUCGGGUUGUAAACCCCUUUCAGCAGGACGAAGCGAAAGUGACGGUACCUGCAGAAGAAGCGCCGGCUAACUACGUGCCAGCAGCCGC